rnacentral:rRNA from 1 species
AGAGUUUGAUCCUGGCUCAGGACGAACGCUGGCGGCGCGCCUAACACAUGCAAGUCGAACGAGCGAGAGAGAGCUUGCUUUCUCGAGCGAGUGGCGAACGGGUGAGUAACGCGUGAGGAACCUGCCUCAAAGAGGGGGACAACAGUUGGAAACGACUGCUAAUACCGCAUAAGCCCACGGUGCCGCAUGGCACAGAGGGAAAAGGAGCAAUCCGCUUUGAGAUGGCCUCGCGUCCGAUUAGCUAGUUGGUGAGGUAACGGCCCACCAAGGCGACGAUCGGUAGCCGGACUGAGAGGUUGAACGGCCACAUUGGGACUGAGACACGGCCCAGACUCCUACGGGAGGCAGCAGUGGGGAAUAUUGCACAAUGGGGGGAACCCUGAUGCAGCGACGCCGCGUGGAGGAAGAAGGUCUUCGGAUUGUAAACUCCUGUUGUUGGGGAAGAUAAUGACGGUACCCAACAAGGAAGUGACGGCUAACUACGUGCCAGCAGCCGCGGUAAAACGUAGGUCACAAGCGUUGUCCGGAAUUACUGGGUGUAAAGGGAGCGCAGGCGGGAAGACAAGUUGGAAGAGAAAUCUAUGGGCUCAACCCAUAAACUGCUUUCAAAACUGUUUUUCUUGAGUAGUGCAGAGGUAGGCGGAAUUCCCGGUGUAGCGGUGGAAUGCGUAGAUAUCGGGAGGAACACCAGUGGCGAAGGCGGCCUACUGGGCACCAACUGACGCUGAGGCUCGAAAGUGUGGGUAGCAAACAGGAUUAGAUACCCUGGUAGUCCACACCGUAAACGAUGAUUACUAGGUGUUGGAGGAUUGACCCCUUCAGUGCCGCAGUUAACACAAUAAGUAAUCCACCUGGGGAGUACGACCGCAAGGUUGAAACUCAAAGGAAUUGACGGGGGCCCGCACAAGCAGUGGAGUAUGUGGUUUAAUUCGACGCAACGCGAAGAACCUUACCAAGUCUUGACAUCCCUUGACAGGCAUAGAAAUAUGUUUUCUCUUCGGAGCAAGGAGACAGGUGGUGCAUGGUUGUCGUCAGCUCGUGUCGUGAGAUGUUGGGUUAAGUCCCGCAACGAGCGCAACCCUUAUGGUCAGUUACUACGCAAGAGGACUCUGGCCAGACUGCCGUUGACAAAACGGAGGAAGGUGGGGAUGACGUCAAAUCAUCAUGCCCUUUAUGACUUGGGCUACACACGUACUACAAUGGCGUUAAACAAAGAGAAGCGAGACCGCGAGGUGUAGCAAAACUCAGAAACAACGUCCCAGUUCGGACUGCAGGCUGCAACUCGCCUGCACGAAGUCGGAAUUGCUAGUAAUCGUGGAUCAGCAUGCCACGGUGAAUACGUUCCCGGGCCUUGUACACACCGCCCGUCACACCAUGAGAGCCGGGGGGACCCGAAGUCGGUAGUCU